CCACAGAUUCUGACACACCAGUCUGCCGAAACCCCUGGGAAUGCCCCACAGAGCCACUCACAGCCCUGUGAUGGGGCUUUUGGAAAGGCACAAGGACAAGCUCUGUGCCCAGCUGGGGGCCUGCAAACACUAAGCACAACUGCAUCUCUUAGAUUGGUCACACCUUCCUAGAUAUGCAUCUGUUUGAUAACAAACAUUCAGGUCUAGCUGGGACAGAGCUGGAAAUACAGCAAGGACUGGGUACCUGGUGAUCAUCCCUCCAGCAGGUCUUGAGAUCACACCCAGUAUGAAAGUAAAACUUGGAUGGCUUUUUGGUGUUACUGUGCUCUUGGCUUUGAACUUCACACUUCUGUCUCCUCUUCCUUCACACCAACGUCUUCUCUCAAGCCUUUAGUACGGAGCAGUGCCAGACCCCUGCUAAUUUCUGGUGUUGUGCAUAAUUUUCCAUCUUUUUAGCCCAUUUUUGAGGUAGACAGCAAGCCCUCGAGGUGGGGACUUGCGUCAUCUAUUAAAAAAAUCCACUCGGUAAUUAUUUAUGAUUCGUUUAUUGUAGCAUUUGUGUAUAUUUUUUAAUAACAGUUAUGGACCACAAAUGUGGAGCAGACAAAAAGAUUCAUGUUGUCAGGCAGACUGAAAGGGAUUUUGCAGACUACAUGUGUUGUCAAAUACCUCCAUCAGUGGACAAAUUUACUGCACAUCUAAAUUCAAAUCAAGCCAGGGCAAACCAGUUCCCUUUUCUGUGAAUUGGUUAGCCACAGUUAUUUGAACUGCAUCAAACAAGCUGACAUGGAACUGUUUGGCCUGUUGGUUUUACAUGUAGCUGUCUUUACUCUGUUUAAGAGUAAAAGUGAAAGGUCUGAGAUAGGUUGGGGUCUUUUUUCUUCAAAUAAAGCAUUUCCUUGUAAAGAAUUAAUUGACUGAAUGUGUUAAAAAAAGUGCCCCUCAAACAGGUGAAUUUUAUUUUUGAACUAGAAGAAUGCCAGGAUCCAGUUGUUCAUUUAUAAUUCAGCACUAAGCUAAAGAAACAAAGGCAGAAAAUGCAUAGUUGUAAAUCAUGCUUGCAGCCACAGAACAAUAUAAUGCCGAGCAGCCAUUUUAGGUUUUUGGUUGCUUUAUACCCUUUCUACAUAAUGAAGCCUGUUAAAUGAAUCCUUAUGGGAAUUGUUCCCAAGGUUUGUGUUUUGUAUAUGAAAUUCCAAGUACAAGAGUUUAAUUUUGUGAGAUAAAUUAUUCUGUAAAAAUUUGUUCAAGGUACUCUUUUUUUGAAAAGGCUACUUGCUUUCUAGAUAUAACAACAGCUUUAUCCUUUUUAAUAAAAUGCAAACCCAAUAUGUCUGGAAAAAAUAUUUCAAUGGAAUUAUUUCUGUCAGAGGGAAUAAAGGUGGCAACUGCAAAUCCUAGUGUAUUUUACUCAGAAGAAUUCCUAGAUAGUCUAUAGCUAAAUACAUGGACCAGAUCUUCCUUUCUCUUCUAUUAUGGAAAUCUCAGAAAGAAAUAAAGUGUUGCUGUUUCACUUCAGUCUUCAAAGUGAAGCCCUAACAAUGGAUGGAGCAGAGGCUCCACUCAGUAAAUGUGUGUAAUUCUAGCCCACUUUUUUACCUUAAUGCUUUUUUUGAUGAAAUUAUCACACUCUCUCUUCCAAAAAUUUGCUUGUGGAUAGAUGUAUUAUUUUUCUCAGUGGGAAAUAAUCCAGGUGUCCAAUCAGCCCAAAGGUUGUGCACUCAUAAUUUCUAUUUAAGUCAAUUAGAACAGUGCAGAUGUCUCUUCUAUUUGAUGAUUUGCUUCCAGAGAAAGACUGGAGAAUUAAUUAAAAUACACAAUCUAAUUGAACGGAAAAUCAUAAAAUUUUGUUUCUAGGAAACAAUUUGUGAGUACAGGGGAUCUAAAGUUGUGCAUUAUAUCUAAGUAGAGAACAUAUCAUCUCAAGCCACUCCACCAAAGUUUGAGUCUGAGGUCAGUUUUCAGACUGCGAGUCUAAUUUAGUUUCAGAAUGGAGCUUAAGGUUCCCAACAUCCAGAGACCUGGGUGGGGGCACAGGGGGGCAAACAUGUGAUUUUGGUUCCAGUUAAUUUCAGAUUUAUUUCUGUUUAGCAGAUCAGUUUUCUCUUUCUAAAAGUGUUUUCAUUUUGGCAGACUCCUCAAAUGAAAGGCUUAUUUCAAGAUGUUUCCUGUUGAGUAACUGCUGCUGCUGAGAGGUAAAGGGAGACAUACACAGUGCUGAAGGGAACGUAUGGAAAUGUCAUGGCAAUGACAGGCACGAGGCCAAAGGCUGCCAUUAUCUUUCCUUCCAUCCCAGAGGAGCUAAGCAGGAGUGCAGAGGGAGAACAUGCUACAUGGCAUUAGCAGAUCCAUCCCUCCAGCCUUUUGGGUGCUGCCAGCCAGAAUAAAGGAGAAGAGACAAUGAAGAUAAAAUCUUGGAUGCUUAAGACGAAUUUUUAAAAUUGCUUUGUGGAUUAACAGGAUUGUCUCUGCUGUUACGUUUAAGUCCCCUGAAUACACUUGGACAAGCCUUUUCCUGGUUCUUACAACCAGCCGGAACUCCUUGGUACAGUUGCUGUAAGAAGGCAGUAGCUGGAGAGAAAUCAUUAAACAAGUGAGGUCAGUAUCUCAGGAGAGUCUGUCUGCAGAACUUUGUAGGUAAAACAUCAGCUAUGGAAAAUUUUCAGCUUUUGAGGAAAACCUGUUGUGAAGGACUAAGCAAAGGUACACACAGCAGGAUAUAGGAAGAGAAAAAUGUUUUUGACUGCUUGGGAGCCCUCACAGAAACCAAUAAGAUGUCCAAAAGGUCUAAGAAUUUGAGGGAGAAAUGCUUGUGAAGCGGAGCAAUUUUGUGAAUUGCAGCUGGCUUCACAGAAUCCUUAGAUGAGGAACAAAAAAUGCAAGGCAGUCUCUUGUGUUCUAAUUUAAAGUUAUUAAUUAAUGCAUUUUGAACCACUUUUUUUGGUGCAAAGGGAUCCUAAUUAUAGUGUAAAAUUCAGAUGUAAUUGAUGUAAAAGAUCUUCAUGUAAAUGAAAAGAUGAGCUGCUGUGUUUGAAACUGAAGGGAAGAAGAAAUGCCCUGUUGUAAGGUCACAGUUUAUGUGGGUCGAAGUCUCAGCUGAUUUAUGUUAAAGGUUAACUCACACAGAGAGAACAUGUUCAGGUACUUGUGUAGCAGAUGAACCAGCACUGCUCUCCUGGGUGAGGCUAUAAUGCAGUGAUAACAAAGGUAACUUGCUUAUUUCUGUGACUUAGAAGAUUCAUUCCAAAAAUUGCAUGAAAAUGCUACAAAUUAAGAGCUUCGUAGAGGAAAGCUCAUGGAUUUAGCUGUGCUCAAGAAGGACUCUUGUGUCCAAGACCUUCCUGCAGCCUAUACCAGGCUUUCCUCAGUGAUCUGAAUGUAAGUGGAGGCAGGAGCACCUCUUUCUUAGUUAACAUAUGAAUGCAACCAGAAUUUGUUUAUUAGGGUGAAAUUUCCUACAUCUCUGUACAAGUCACAGACCAGGAUUCCAAAGCGAUGCUUUUAGUCCCAUUUUGUUCAGCUUCAAAGGCAUCACUUCUUGUGGUGUGCUUUGACCUAACAUCAUCUGAUUCAUGCAUGAAAUCCCCCUGUAGUUCCCUGGGCUAGUUCAUCUUCUGAGCUUUACCAGCUCCUCUCCCUUCCUAAGCAAAGCCUGGAAAGGGAGAGGGGUCCCUUCCAGCCUGCUCUGAGUUACCACAAGUGUGGUCAGCCCCAAAGGACCAUUAUGAGGCAGGAAUCCCUGUGCUUUGGUGGGACAGGAGGAGCAUAUCUGCUUUCAGCUGUCCUCUGGACACUCCAGCUGUUCCAGGCUAUGGAGAAGAAUGUGAAGUUUGUGACGGUUUUUGUCAAAUGAAUCUUAUAAUGUGUCUUUUUUAAAACUCCUUUUGAGUUUUCUGAUGAGGUUAAGAGAUGCAGGGCAAUGCACAGCAGCUUUAUCAGAGUAAGUAACUGGCCUCCUUUGGUUUUAAAGCCAAAAUUAAACUGCUAAAUGCAAAGCCCACCUCUACAAUGGCAGACUGACUUUGGCAUUAUAUUUUCUCUGGAUUUGGUUUAGAGUAAUGUUGUUAUGUUUAGAGUAAUGUCUAUGAAACAUGAUUAUAUGGUAAUUCCUUUAAAAAAAAAUUAAUUCCCUGCCUUUAUAGAUCAAUGACUUGUUCUUUUCUCAGGACAAAUACUGAUGAAUUCAUACAAGGUUUUAUCAAUUUUUUAGCAUUGUAACAUCACCACCUUCUUGCUGAAGCCCUGUUUAAUUUCCUGCUCUUGUUCUCGGCUGUUGCUCCAAAGGAGCACACAAGGAUUGCCCCUGCUGCUGGGUUUUAGGAAUGGGCUGGCAAUCUUGCAGAUUCCCAUUCAGUUGUGCAUUUUUCACCUUAUCCAUCACUUCUUGUGGAAAGAGAUGGGCAUCUUAUCUUCCUAGCAUUUUUAUCUGAACAUGUUUUUACCAACACAUUGGCUCAUAUUUGUAGAAUCACAGAACCCUAGGAUGGUUUGGGUUGGAAGAGACCUUAAAGACCAUCUAGUUCCAACCCUGUGCCUUAGGCAGGGACACCUUCCACUACAGCAGGUUGCUCAAAGGCCUGCCUAAAUUGGCCUAGAACACUUCCAGGGAUGGAUGCCAAGAUCCAGGUGCAGGACCUUACACUUGGCCUUGUUGAGCUUCAUAAAGUUCACGUGGGCCAGCCCAAUUCUGUCAAGGUUCUUGUGGCAUCCCUUCCCUCCACACGUUGACAGCACCACUCAGCCUGUGUCCCCAGAGAAUGUGCUGAGGGUGCACUGAAUCCACGGUUCCUGUCCCUGACAGAGAUGUUAGACAGCAUCAAUCCCCAUACUGACCCCUGAGGAGCACCACUCAUCACUGGUUUCCACUUGGACAUUGAGCUGCUGACCUCAGCUCUUGCAGAGUGACCAUCCAGCCAGUUCCUUAUCCACCAACUGCCAACUUCACCAGACUGCCACAAUUCCUCAAAUAUGAUGGAUAGUGGCUUAGCCACUUCAUCCACUGGUGCCCGCAGGCAUGCCCAUGGAUGCAUCUCAUCAGGUCCCAUGGAUUUGUACAGCUUCACGAUCCUUAGAUGCUCUGGUACCUGUUCUUCCCUUACACUGUGUUGUUCUUCAUUCCAUUUGCCUUCUGUGACUUGGCUGGUGUGGCUGGAGCCCCUGCUGGUGAAAAUGGAGGCAAAAACAUCAUUGAGACCUCACCCUUCUCCAUGUCCCACCUGGGUAAUCAGGUCUUCCAUUUCCUUCUGAAGAUGGCCCACAUUUUCCUUGGUUUUUCUUUAAUCAUCAAUGUACCUAUAGAAGCCUUUUUUAUUCUCUUUGAUGUCCCUGGCCAAGUUUAAUUCCAUCAGGGUUUGGCUUUCAUAAUCUGACUCCUGGCUACAAUUCUGUCUAUAUUCCUUCCAGGCUACCUGUUCCUGCUUCCACCCACUGUAGGCUUCCUUUUUCUGUUUGAUUUUGUCCAGGAGCUCUUGGAGGCUUUUACGGAUGAUUUUAUGAAUAUACCAACCCUAUCAGAUGCUAAUAGUUAUGGCUGUAACCAGUUUAGGAUGAUUCUAAACCAUGAACAGGUAACCAAUGAAAGGGUUUUAUUUCUUUGCAGAUAUGCCAAUACCCUAGUACAGUUGUUUUAAUAAUAAUAAUUUUAAACAUUGCAAAGCUGGCAUUUCCCCUUCACCCACUGGUGUAGUCACAGCAGAAUGAAUGGAUCAUUGUUAGAAGAGUCAUUUCCCUGCACAAAGCAACCUCUGUUCACAAUUGUAAGGUUAGAAAUGUUCAACCAGUCAUGACAUUUAAAUAAAAUGAUUGUCUGAGCAUCUCUUGGGGUUACAAAUCAUUCUCUCUCCAGCUGGUGCUACCUGUCCUUUAUUAGAAAUCUACAGAAUCUUUAAGAUGAACAACAACUCUAAUGGAAACAGUCUCUUGAAAUAUGAUUUAUCUUCCCAUGUUCAGAAGCAAAGAGCAGUUGUUUGUACCUUGAAUAAAGAUAUUAGUUUUGUUUCCAGGACUAGAGACAUGGGAGGAAGCUUAGAACAAAACCACAAAAAUGUCAGUGGAAGCUUUUGAGAAACUGAGCUAUGGGAACAAUGAAAAUUUUUGGUUAGUGUCAGAGAGCAGUUGAUAUUUUGGGGAUAGUUGAUGUCUGAAGAAGUCUAUGAUAAAAUUUACAGCUAUUUAGAAGAGAAAAAAAAACAGGAAAUACAGAAUUUAUCUAGACACAGUAAGCCUAAGAGAAACAAGGGAAGUUUUACAAAGAAGACCUUCUGACAGUAAAAUGUAUUCCAGAUAGUAGAAGGUUGUUUUUUGAAAACUCUGAAAAAAAUCUGGUGGGGAAUUUUUAUUGGUCUUUUCCUACCUCUACUUAUUUACACGCUCCAGAGGAUGAAUCCUUUCUUAUUAACCAGUAAGAAAGCCCAGCAUUCAGCAAGGAUUUGAAAGUAGAGUCUCCAGCAGUACAUUUUAAUGAGUGGUAUUCUUGGAAAGCACUCAGUUGACCAUAGUAGCUGAAUUCCUGACUGCAGCACACCAGUCAGUGUCAAACACUCGGGAUAAGUUGUUUAGAAAUAAACCCGUGACACAGGAAAUAGAGUAAGAGGUGGUUCUGUGCUGUCUGAGGGUGGAAGGAGCUGGAGAAAAUCCAUCACUGUUUAUGUGGUUGUAUUUGUGACACAUGGGAGCUGAACUAACAGCGGAAGUGGAGAAUAAAUAAAUACUCAGCAGAGAGAGUGAUUAUGGUUAAAAUACAGAUCCCUAGUCCUGGAAGUGUGACCUAGGGCCAGUUGCAAGGAAUUCAUUCUCAUUGAUUAUUUUAUAGAGUAUAUCUACAUUCUGAAAUAACUUCUAGCUAGUUAUAGUAAUAAUAAUGGCAUGUGUUAGUGUUGUAAUCUCUUAAGAGCUCACAUGUCUUUUUAUAGAAACAUUAAUUCUUUUGGCAAAAAAAAUUUGUGAUGUUCUUUCUAAAAUACUGAGGAAGAAUAUUUUUGCAACUGCUGCUUUGUAUAUUUUGGGUCUCAUGCAUGAUUUAUCACUUACUAAAUUUGAAAUCCAAAUUAUGGAACUGGCUAUAGCUAUUGCCAGAAAGCAGAAUCUGCAGUGCUGGAAAAGGACUAAAAAGGUUAUCAUCUGACUAAGCUGCAACCUUUCCUGGAACAAUAUUUGUAUUGUAGGUUACUAACAGCUUUGCAAUCCACAGGUGCUCACUCACAAUAGCAAAAGUGUUGUAAUUCAUCUAUAAUCAGGACAUUAUUUUUACUGCAAGUUAUUCCGACUUUGCAGUCAAUGGAAACUAACCAGCUAUAGUAAAAGUGUUGUCAUUCAUCUAUAACUGGGACAGUACUUCCAUCGUAAGUUAUUCCAACUUUGUAGUGAAUGAAAACUUACCAGCAAUAGUAAGUGUGUUGUCAUUCAACUAAAAUAGAAGGGAGGAGAAAGGAGAAAGAUGGACAAAAUGCAGAAUGUAUCUGCAAUGGAGUCUGAGUAAAAUAACCCCACGGUAGUGCAAGGUAACGUUAAGUUGGUGAAAUUCAGUACAGGCUUCCAACUGAAAGGCUACACCAUUUCCUUUGGCAUCUGCCCGCCUAAUCUCAGACAGCAUAAAGGGGUACAGUGCAGUGAAUGUGCUCUGGUGAAUUCAAACCUCAGCUGGGGUUGUAGAAGCUGCUUGCAGAGCUCAGUGCACUUUAAAGUAGAGUAAGUAAGAUAAGUAAUACCUGAGGAUUUAAAGCUGCCAUAGACAUGGGAGACUGCAGUGUAGACAUCCCACACAUAGCUCUUCUGGGCAAGAAGCCUGGCCUUUUUUAUGCUACAAGAGCACUGUAGGUACCUAACAAUUAUUAAUAAUAACUAAUUAAUAAUGCUCCAAAUCCUUGGCUGUGAUUGAGUACCUCAGAGAAUAACUCACCUAGAGUUGUAAGAAAAGAUGGCUCAAAACAAUCUUAACUAAAUCCUGGGCCAGCUUUGUGCCUUGACUUUGCUCCAGCAAAAGAUAAAGCAGCAGAGUACAAUUUGUUCUAAGACAUUAGCAAGGGAGAGAGAAGGACAUAAUGAAUACAUUUGAUUGGUAAUGCAUAAGAAGUGGUGGCAAACAAGACUAUUAGGGGAUAAGAGUAUAAAAUUAGAUGGAAAGGAAGAGAUGAGAUUGGUCAAUUCCACUGGUCCUAAAUCAACAUUUCAUCUCAGAAACCACAAAAGUCAGCAGCUGAGUGGAGGCGAAUGAAAGACUAGGGUCAAAACAACAAUCAUAAUUUAUCUGAGUGUCAGAAAAGCAUUUUUACACUAAGUACACAACACAUCGAUUUACACUUGAUAGACAGUACUUACACAAAAAGAUACUUCAACCCUCACUGAAUAGCUUGCAGCACAAUACAAAUUCUUUUCAUGGUAAACCUAGGGGGGAAAAACAAACCCUUUUUAUACAAGGAAUUUUCACUUAAGUAUUUGAGUCUACUGGGAACAGCCUGAAAGACACAUACCAUACUCCCCACUCACAUCUACCCAGGCUUGUGGUUCGAUGUGCUGAUGCUGUUUGACAGUGUGGGGGGCACUUUUAGGAACCUUGGUGGAAAGAAGCACGGCAGAAAGCUUCAGCUGCUGUUUUCAUUCCUCUUUGGAGGUGCCUGACGGAAGAUCUAGGAGUUGUUUACUUGUACAACGAGGAGCAGAGUAUGCUGAUAGGAAGACCAAGUUUCACCUUUGGUAGUCAAAGGACUGUGUUUGAUAGCAAAAGAUUUGCUUCCUUUGCUGGUGAUGUUGUUUUGCCUUUUUUACAACAUAAUAAAAGUAUUAUUCCUUUAA